AGGCUUUGUGUUGAGCCUAAAUAAAAGAUAACAGGGCUUGAUCGUACGCCUGUAUCAAGCAGCGAAUUCCUGGAGUGACUCACUCCCCUGUGUGAUUAGAUCGCAUAAUUGUGGCGAUGCAGCUAUCGUAUCAGGCAGUAUAUUAAUUAAACAUUUCAAUGUCUACAUCGAUAAUCCCAGUCUCUUCGCAGAAUUUAACCCAACCCAUUAGAGUGAAGUUAUGUUGGAGGGAUGAGUGAAUGGGAGCAGCGAAGAUCUGCCGAGAGGGAGUUUCUAGCAGAUUUGUUUUAUGUUUUCUAGGAAGUCCUCCACCGUAGUCUUUCGGUAGAUUUUAUUCGAUCAGUAUUGUCGUCCUUCAGUUACUG
rnacentral:sRNA from 1 species